rnacentral:rRNA from 1 species
AGGGCACCACCAGGAGUGGAGCCUGCGGCUUAAUUUGACUCAACACGGGAAAACUCACCCGGCCCGGACACUGGAAGGAUUGACAGAUUGAGAGCUCUUUCUUGAUUCAGUGGGUGGUGGUGCAUGGCCGUUCUUAGCUGGUGGAGUGAUUUGUCUGGUUAAUUCCGAUAACGAACGAGACUCUAGCCUAUUAAAUAGAUCGUUGGCUUACAAACGCCGGCGAGACUUCUUAGAGGGACAGGCGGCGAUUCAGCCGCACGAAACAGAGCAUUUUACAGUUUUUGUGAUGCCCUUAGAUGUCCGGGGCCGCACGCGCGCUACACUGAAGUGAUCAGCGUGCAUUUUGAAACCUACUCUGUCAAGAGUGGGGAACCCAAUGAACCUUCUUCGUGAUUGGGAUAGGGGAUUGUAAUUAUUCCCCUUGAACGAGGAAUUCCCAGUAAGCGCGAAUCAUAAGUUUGCGCUGAUUACGUCCCUGCCCUUUGUACACACCGCCCGUCGCUACUACCGAUUGAAUGU